GCAAACGGACCCUGAUGCUUAAAUGAAGUAAAUCAAAUGCAGUCAACCAAAAAUGGCAUUUAAUUAACGGUGUUUGUCGUACAGACACUGGAUCGGUUAGAAGAAGUUGGUUCAACAGUAACCACAGAAACAAACACCAUACAAUUUGGUAUCAUUACAGAGCAUGAGAUCCUCCGAGGCACACCUCAAGCAGAAGGUAGUGGUAAAUCAUAACAUUCUUUGGCCAUGUGAAUACACUGCAACCAAUGUAGGACCUCCAUAUUAGGGUCCUCCUCUAGAACUACGUCUCUAGCAGCAAUCUGAAUUGCGCCACGGUACAUGACAAUCCUCCCACGAACCCUCAACAGGGUGCCCAGGCGUACCACCUCCGACAUUUUCGAUGCCAUCUCUCUAGUUGGAUCAGAAUCGGACGAACUGUUUGCAUUCAGGUAUUGGUGGUUCAGCCACAGGACACAUGGUACACAGCCAGUGCCAUCAUCAACCAGGAAGCGGAGAAACUUCUCCCUGCGGUCACGUGAAACAACGACCCCAACAACCUCGGCACGAGCAACUGUACGGCCUGAGCGAACAAAGGAAGGCAGCGAUGUAUGUCGGGGGGUUAGCGUGAGGAGAUCGGCAGCCAGAAGCUUGACGUGCACAAGAUGAAGGGAGUCCAUGCUGAGUCUGCAUACAAACCAUGAGGCAAUGAAGUUCAGAGAAGAGAUGUAACUAGAGCUGCACAUUGUUACCAUACAUGAUGAAAAGUUAAGCAAAAAAGCUAUAUAUCGCGCUAUUCGUCACCCUGGGUGAGGAAUAGUUAUUCUUCACCCCCUCUCUAUUUUUAUAUCAACGCACCGUAUUUUUACGUUUCGUAAAUUUGGUCUUAUUUCAUACAUAAAGAGAAUGUAAGAAAAUAUGUACUCGCCGUAAAAAUAUAUUUUAUGUUACAUAAAAUUACGAAAUGUAAAAACAUAGUUUAAAACAUACAUAAAAUGUGAUUUUUCUGGUCUUAUAACCUAUAUUUUUUGUUUUUUAUACCAAAUUUUACAUAUUAAAUCAAUAUGCAUGUAAAUAUUUAUAUUCUAAACGUAAUUUAUUUAGGAAGCGAUCGUAAGACUACCUCGGGUGAAGAAUAACUUAUUCUAUACCCUGGGUGAUGAAUAGUAACACUAUAUAUAUAAAAUUGGCGGAGCCAGGAUUCAAGCAAGCCGGACUGAAAGUUUAGCGCUUAUAACAAACCAGAAAAUUAUAUCAAGAGGUCAAUUGCACAGCUAUGGUAGAACUAGAAAUCGAGAUUUAACGAUCCAAAAAAAUGGAUAAUCAUGGCCGAAAUUACAAAUAAUAGUACAAGACUACAUUUUCCAGACUGAGCUGAACACCAGGUUUCAGAUUCUGUAGUUAAUUGGUUGGUCUCAGAGUCUGCAGCAAACAACAGCGGUGCUCCUGUCUCCAGUCGCACCGCGAGAAGCAGAUCACCGCGGGGAGCAAACAUUGAAUCAGUACAACAUUCACCUUGAAGCAGAUCACCGCGAGAAGCAGCUCUGCGUGUAGCAGCUGCAGGCUAAUCUAACUGAAGGCCACAAGCUAGUCUAACAGUACAACAUUGAAUCAGCGCAUACACUUAACAUCUCUCCGACAAGCAUAGAUUUCAGAAGACUGAAUCAAUGUAUAAACUCAAGACGCACUUGUUCUUCAAUUUUUACAGUGGACAAAAAAAAUGCAGUACACGAAUUCGAAUGAAUAACAUUCACCUUGCUCUUGCUCUGGAUUUCAAUUGAUGCCCUUCAAUGAAGGGAUGCCCGAGGACGACUGAACGAGCCGACCGUGUCUAGUGGCGGCGGCGCCGCUCCGCCCGGCCGUGCCGUUCGCGGUAGGGUUCAGAGCUGAGGGCUGGCGCUUCGCUGGGCGUACUACUGGGCCGAGUGUCUGGGCCUGUGGAAGGCUUCAGCCCAGGCCCAGGUUUGGCCCAGGCCGUUUAGGCCCAGUUCAAUCUUUUUUUUUUGCGGGUGAGGCCCAGUUCAAUCCACGAGACGAGAGGCAAAACCUACCUCAACGCCGCCGCCGUCACUCCCUGCCACAAGCAGUCCACCACUCAGUUCACUCCUCUUGCUUGCCGCCGGCGACCAUGGUGGAUGCCGCAAGAGUGACAGCGCCGCCUCCCGACGGCAGCCUCCCGGACGAGAUCACCAUCUGGGAGAUCCUCGUCCGGCUGCCCCCCAAAUCGCUCCUCCGCUGCCGCGCCGUCUGCCGCGCCUGGCGCAGCGCCACCUCCACCCGCCGCUUCCUCCUAGCCCACAACGCCCUCCAGCCCACCCUCCCCCUCCUCUACGGCUACAACUUCGUCGGCGACGAGGUCGAGUCCCUCGACAUCAUCCCCUUCCACCAGCGAGCUCCAGCUCCGGCCCGUCGCGCGGCUUGCGCAAGACUCCGACUUCCACCAUCUGGAGGCCUGCUGCGACGGCCUCCUCGUCCUCUCCUUCCGCAACACCAGCGUCCGUGACUGGCGCUUCGCCGUCUGCAACCCCGCGACUCGUCAGUACGCUCCCCUCCCGUUGGCUUAUGGCUCCGGCGUCGAGUACUCGCUCUUGGGGAUGUACCCACACACCCCCACCGGCGACUACCGACUGUUGAUGUUCCGGGACUCGGUAUCGAUGCAUCAUCAACUGGUACCUGACGCCGCUCAAGACGGCUCCUACAUCUUCACGUUAGGCUCCGGCCAGCCACCGAGGCACAUAGGGUUCCUCGAAGCGGAGGUGCUGACAUUCACCUUUGGGUCUCUCCUGUUUCGUGGUAGCCUGCAUUGGCGCCCACCAGGCAACAUGAUAAUGGUGUUCGACACCACGACUGAGUUGUUCUGGCAGAUGCGCGCUCCGGCUGUUCCUCCUGGCCAUGCUAAGUUGUUUCAGAUGGAUGAAAUGCUUGGCAUGUCUGGCUUUAAUGAUGCAGCGACAACCAUUGAUAUCUGGGUGGCGCAGGACUACGAGAGCGAGGUCUGGGCCUGCAAAUACCGGGUAGACUUCUCAGUUGCAGAGAUCACUCUGCGGUUUGGAAAGUUUGACGAAAGUUCUUGGGUGGUGGUCAUGCCUUCGGAUGGUGAUGUGUUCCUACUGGUCAAUUUUGGUGAGUGGCUACUUCAGCUUGACAUUGGUGGCAAGUUGGUCGCUACUUUCCAUCGCAGAGGCCUCGGUCCUGCAAAUCUUCGUCUCAAGCAAACUCUUGUUCAACAUACCUUCUUUCCAAUACUAGAGGGUUAUGUUACCAACUCUCCGCCUUUCAUCUGACAGAUGUUAUGUCAAGUGCUGAUUCUAUCUAGCCCAACUGUCAGUAUCCUCAUGAGUUGCAGUGUGUGUGAAUUCGGCCCACUAUGAGCCAGCUAGUUUCAUGUUUAUGUUUAUGUUUCUCUGAAUAUUCUUCUGGGCUGAAGUGGCUGCCGUGAGUCUUAAUGCUAAAAUUGCAAGUCUCUGUUUACUUUAUAUUUCUAUUUUUAUAUUUCUCUGAUCAUUUAACUGAAGAAUUAACUUCUCAUUGUAUUUCUGUUUUUAUGUUUUGUUUUAGCUGACAAUGAAAUGAGGCAAAUUAUCCUGUUUCAAUUAGCCAAUUUUUCAGUGAAAUGUUCUAUUGCGGUUCAUUUUUAUUCAUGAUUCAACUGCAUUUGGUUAAGUACUGAGAUAUACUGUUUUAAUUCUGCCUUCAUGUUGUAUCAUUAUUCAUUUGGAGUUAUAUUUAUCACUUCACUUUAUCUGUAGCCAUUUUAAGGAAUCAAUGAUUCGUGUGAUGUUUGAUAUUAACAUAAGCUCGAGAAAUAGAACCUUUAUUUAUAAGUAGUAGAAAGGUUAUCAUGGUCAGGCUCAGUUUCUAGAUUGUGCUCCACUUUAAAUUCUGUAAGUGUCAGCCAUGUUCUUUUGUCCUGUGAUUGGCGCAAUGCGUAUGAAUUGGGUCAACUAUGAGCCGGCUAGUUUCUUUUUAUGUGCUGACUGUUUCAUGGUUGCAUGCAAUUUAUGCUUGUGUGAAAAUUGUGAACAUCCUUUUGGGCUGAAGUGGUUAGCAUGUUGAUUCUAAAAAUCAUGAAGCUGUUUUGGCCAGCUUUUGAAAUGGCUGCCAUUGUUCUGUCUCGUGUCUCUGUUUUCCUUUGAACUGAAGAAUUGACUUGGUUUUUAAUCGAGAUUUUCUUCUUUCACUGUUUCUUAAAGGUCAUCUAGUGGUUUCAUCUACUAAAAAUUUAGCCAAUAUACACUUGUUUCCUGUUUCCAUGUUUUGUUGUAGCGAAUGAUCAGCUGCUAUACCAAGUUUGAGCCCGCGGGCUUCUCUGUCGAUGCAUAUAAAGCUGUGAUCAGGAAUCUCUUGUAAGAAGUCUUGGUUUAAACAGAAAAGUUGGCUGAUGAUACCAAUCUGUGGUAAUGCUAAGUUUGAUUGAUCAAGGUAUUGCCAAAAAGUCAUUGCAAUGUUGCUUGUGCUGUGAAUAGUACUUGUCAGAAUAAUUUGGUUGGUAGGAACAUACAUGGUCUAGUCUUUCCUGAAAUGGCCUUGCUCUCACAUUAUCAUGCAUGUUCUAAUAUUGGGAGAAAAGUAAAUUUGGUGGGUGGAUCCAACCAGGAUUGCUAUCAUGGAUUCAUGGGUGCUCUUAUUUCAUAUCUUAGGUAUCAUGUGAAUCAUGGAUAAGGUGAAGAGUUGGUGUUCACAGUUACUUGUUUGCUGAUCUGUGCUUAUUUGAGUAUUUGACAAAAGUAAAUCUCCUUCCAGUUUGUUUAUUCUUAGAUCAUUACUAGUUUAGACUUGAUGCACAUUUAAGUCAACAAAAUUCAAAGAAAAAUUAAGGUUUGACAGUUGCAAAAUCCUUUAUAAAAUGCGGGAUUUCUAGCUGUUAAUUAAUUCAUCACUAAAAGAAAUAUAUGUAUUUCACAUACAGUAGAAAGCUUAUGAGCAAUGCAUUUCUUGUCUUUUAUCUUUUCCUAUUUGCUCUGUGAUCACUAUCAGUAAUACAUUUAACACUGGUCUACCCGAGAACAUCCACUUUAUUGUUUUCUUCAGCCAACAAGACUCAUCAUACGCUGCUGUUGUCGCUGACCAGGCACCCUGUGCAUUCUAGUUGUGUUUCUUUGUUCCUGCAUGAAGCAAGAAGAAACAGGUGAUGGGGAACAAGAAAAAAUGUUAGAAGUUGCUCGCUGGAACCUACCUUGCAGCCGAUACGUUCAAAAUUCGGACUGCAUGACGACGAACGUAUAACAACAGCAAGAUCCCACUAGCCCUGAGCAAGCAUAUCUUCAAAUCUAAGGAAUGCAUCUUGACUCCUUGACCAUGGAUCGCCUAUUUUUUGAGCGACUUGCGUGUAAAUAGGUAUGUAGUCAAUAUUGACCUGUGGCUCCGACGACGGUCACCAGGGAGAUGAUGCCUCUGGGAGCAAUACAACAGUAAUCUGACAAGCAGAAUUCAGGCAGAGUUGGUGACCACUCUGUGAUUAAAGUCUGGGAUAGGACUGUCAUUGUCUCUGACCAACACCAGGAAGCACUUCUGCUGGCGGCACGCGCACACUCGGCAUAGGCCGAUUUAUUGAACUGAAGAUUUGACUUUGCCUUUUAUCCAGGUCUUCUUUUUAUUCUUGACUGAUUAUCUGGUUUUGUUCUUGCUGAUGAUUAAAUGUGGCAGAUUAUCCCCUCAAUUCGGUCACUUGCUAGUUUCACCUGAUUGUAAGAAGUGCUUGGAGGACUACCCGUUACAUUGAAUGGAAUGAUUGCAUUAUAGUCCACUUUUUUCAGUAAAAUGUUUUGUUGCAAUUCAUUCCAUUAGUCCGGUGCUGAAAUGAUCUGUCGUAAUUCCUUCUUUCUGUUGCAUUGUUUGGAAUUGUGUCUCACUUUAGCUGCUAAGCAUUUUAUAGAAUUAAUGGUUCAUACUAUGUUCGAUUUUAGCAUAAGCUGAAGAAAAGAUUGUCACGGUCAGCCUCUGGUCCCAUUUUUUUUGUUCCUGUUGAGGCACCGGAACUGCCAGCCAUGUUCAUUUUUCUCCCCGAGUGAUGAAAUGUCAUGUCGAGUAUCAUUGGUCGAAAGCAGAUUAUCGCAAGCAGGAUCACACCAUGAUUUUUGUGGCAAUACAAUUGUAGAAAUAAGUGAAAAAACACGCUGGUCAUUUGUUACUGGAUGUAAUUGCCCAGCUCCUCACAUCACUUGCAGGCUACCCAGAGUCAGUUAUCUGUUGCAUGCAUGCGUGAGAUAAAUGUACAUAUUGGCAACAAAAUAUUUUGAUUGUGUGGUUACAGUUUACACUAUCAAUGCAAUAUAUAAGUUUGACAUCCUGAUUGGUAUAUUCCAGUAUGUUUGAUCGAUCUGAAACAUGUGAAAAGUCUUUUCAGCUUAAACUGCAUUUUCUGCUUUUUGUGUCGAGACGCCGAUACGGCAUCUGAGUAUAUGAGCAAGAGUGGGGUUUUACAUAAUGUUUGGGGUAUAUAUGUAGAUAGAUAAACUAUUUUUACAGGGUAUAUAUGUAGACAGAUAAAGUGUGGGGUUUUACAUAAUGUUUGGCAGUGCAUUUAUACAAAAUAUAUUACAGCAUAAAAAGGCAUAUUUCAGCAGGGUAGAAACUUGUACUUGUAUUGUUUAGGUGCUUCUUUCGAUGGUUGCUACUUCCAUUGAUUCAAAGGUGGCUUUUGAAGGAACUGACAAAUCAAGUGGUUAGGAAUACGUCGAAUUGUUUUUGUGCACCAUACAGAGCUUCUCUAGCUGUCAAUGUUACUUCCAUAAAAGGCUCCAGUGUCAUGAGUUCUGACGCUGCAGAAUGAGCUGAGAAUAAAUUGUAUUACCUCGGGUGUAUAUACUGUAGAUUGCAUGGCAAGCCAGUUAUUCUCAAUUCUGCUUGAUUAAUAAGUGGGUAUCCGGUUAGCUGAAAGUCUGUAGCCCAAGGCUGAAUUUGCAGACGCUGGGCUUCUAUUUCUGUUUUUAAAAGUGUGCCUAGUGAUUGGUACAGCGAGUGUGAUGACGUUAAUCUGGACGGGGUCUAUGGGUGAUCAAUAAGGCUCAUGGCCUGCCUCCUCUCCCAGAGCGACAAUAAAAAAGAGAGUUCUGGAGCCGUUCCCUGUGGGAUUUGUAAAACUUAAUGUUCAUGCAUCUUUUGAUCAUGAUCAGCUUAGGGGCAUUGUUGGGGCGGUCCUCAGGGAUCAUAAAGGUAAAUUCAUUGCAGGGGGAAUGAGAAAAUAGAAUGGUGCGCAGAUGUCCUGACGGCUGAAGCUCUGGCUCUUAGAUUCGGGUUGUCUCUUGCGCAAAGGGUGGGAUGCCAUCAUCUUGUCAUUUAAUUCUGACAAUAUGGAGGUUAUCAACACUGAAGAGCGGAGGAUGUUUUGCGGGAGCGGCGGCAUCGGUUUUUGACGACUGCUAUCAUUUGGCAUGCGCUUUUACUAUUUCUAGAUUCGAACAUUAUAAUAGAGAAGCAAAUAAGGUAGCUCAUGAACUGAUUGGGUUCGCUAGAAUUUCAUUGAAUUUUGAAACCUUCGAAUGAAAUUGUAACCCUACUCAUUGGUGAUGUAUUUAUUAUAUCUAUUGNNNNNNNNNNNNNNNNNNNNNNNNNNNNNNNNNNNNNNNNNNNNNNNNNNNNNNNNNNNNNNNNNNNNNNNNNNNNNNNNNNNNNNNNNNNNNNNNNNNNNNNNNNNNNNNNNNNNNNNNNNNNNNNNNNNNNNNNNNNNNNNNNNNNNNNNNNNNNNNNNNNNNNNNNNNNNNNNNNNNNNNNNNNNNNNNNNNNNNNNNNNNNNNNNNNNNNNNNNNNNNNNNNNNNNNNNNNNNNNNNNNNNNNNNNNNNNNNNNNNNNNNNNNNNNNNNNNNNNNNNNNNNNNNNNNNNUGCACAUAGUGAGCACGUUGAUCUACCAUUUCCCCUUUGUGGGAGAGUGGACAUCAUAAUUUGUGUUAUAAGGGGUACGCGUCCUCGCCGCCCCUGCCAAAUUAUAAAACUAAACUUUUUGUUGAAUCUUCUAGUUAUGAAAUUCAGUUGUGUUUCACUUUGAAUUAUCCUUGGUACAAACUUUGUUUUGAAUUCAACUGAAGCCAGUUAGUGUUAUGUUAAUGAAAGGAACUUAGUGCCAGGAUUCAAGACCGGUUUUCCAAUCAACUUUUCUGCCUGAGAUAUAAGAUUGGUUAAUCAGAUUAUUGUUGUCUUGGUAUUAAGAUUUUGUUUACCCAGUCCCUGAAAUUGUCGCCUGCCAGGGAUAUAAGAUUUGGUUUGAUGCUUAUGCCCAAAAGAACACACAACCAAAAUAAAGAUUUGUGAUGGAAAAUAUGAAAUAAUGGCAUCAUGCUUCGCAGAUCGCGUGAUAGCGUGAGCCGGCAUAUUACAGGCUCAAUUACAUGAAUAAUAAAGGAAACUCAAACAAACUUCAACGCUAACAACUUGAUGUCAUGGAUAACAGCACUAGUAGCCGUACCGAUUAGCUUCAGAAUACCGUCAGCAAGAGUAACCGGAUAAAACAUAUCAGGCAGCCACAACAUCAGCAUCGAGAAACACAUCCAACCUUUCUUCUGUAUCUCUUAUAAGGGAAAAUCUUUGUUACUUCCGUCUUUUUUUACCAUAAAAUAAAUAUUCCGUACUCGUCACGACAUAGAAACUGUAAUAGUCCAGAGUCCAGACUUCACAGUGGAACCCCAGAGGAAAAUACAAAUACAAAACAAGAAUUUCUUUAAGGCAUACCAUGCCACAUCAAAGGAGAACUCCAGUGCGUGUGAUUGCGGUGGCAGAUAAAUCCUUUAGCAAAUUGUUGGGACAACUGAGAAACGGUGCACGGGCGAAACUCACUUUGAGACCCUACCGUCUCUCUACUACUGUAAGAGUCUCCGUAUCCACAGAGUCCUAGCCAUAGUCUGCUCUCUUUGCUACCUUAUUUCUCCCAGAAAAAUACGGCGGCUUAUCAGGCGUUGCAAGUGGUGUGCUUCUACUCUCCAAGGUUGUUAAAACCGUUGACAUGGGUGGUCUCGCAUCCGAGUCAUCCUGAACACACAAGAGCCCGACAUGAAUGCAACACAAAACUUCUUCAUCCGAGCAGCUCUCUGAAACAGAUGGAUCCACAAGAUCUUUUGCCAGCCCUUCCCUCCAUAGACUCCAUGCCUGAAUAAAUCGAAUCAAAAAAAUUUAAGUCAUGUGGUCAAGGCAUUCCGGACAUUGCCAUGGUAAAUCAUAAUCUUACAUAUAUUAUAAGGUUGGGGAACUCAUUGAUGUUCUGGGUUGAGCUAAUCCUUAGACCACUUACAGUUUCCAAGAGCAAUACUCCAAAGCUAUAGACAUCAGACUUAACAGAAAAGAGGCCUUCCAUUGCAUAUUCCGGAGACAUAUAACCGCUGGAUAAAUCAUAUCAUCAGCAAGACUUGCAUGUUUCGAGUUGAGUUUAACCAUGUAUGCCUUUAAUGAAUAACUGCACGCAAGAUAGUAAUCCUACUUAAAUGAAGUAAAUCAAAUGCAGUCGAGCAAAAAAGGCAUUUGAUUAACGAUGUUUGCCGUACACACGCUGGAUCGCGUUAGAAGAAGUUGGCUCAACAGUAACCACAGAAAGAAACACCGUACAAUUUGGGAUCAUUAUAGAGCAUGAGAUCCUCCGAGGCACAACUCAAGCAGAAGGUAGUGGCAAAUCAUAACAUUCCUUGGCCAUGUGAACGCACUGCAACCAAUGUAGAACCUCCACAUUAGGGUCCUCCUCUAGAACCACGUCUCUAGC
rnacentral:lncRNA from 1 species